rnacentral:rRNA from 1 species
UACGUAGGUGGCAAGCGUUGUCCGGAUUUACUGGGCGUAAAGGGCUCGUAGGCGGCCAACUAAGUCAGACGUGAAAUCCCUCAGCUUAACUGGGGAACUGCGUCUGAUACUGGAUGGCUUGGAUUCGGGAGAGGAAUGCGGAAUUCCAGGUGUAGCGGUGAAAUGCGUAGAGAUGUGGAGGAACACCGAUGGCGAAGGCAGCCCCCUGGGUCAAGAUUGACGCUCAUGCACGAAAGCGUGGGGAGCAAACAGG